rnacentral:rRNA from 1 species
AAUUGGGCGGGCUUACCAUGCAGUCGACGGAAAGGCCGGGUGCUUGCACCUGGUACUCGAGGGGCGAACGGGUGAGUAACACGGGGGUGAUCUGCCCUGCACUUCGGGAUAACCCUGGGAAACUGGGUCUAAUACCGGAUAGGACCACUGGUUGGUACUGGGGGGGGAAAGUUUUUCGGGGCAGGAUGAGCUCGCGGCCUAUCAGCUUGUUGGGGGGGUAAUGGCCUACCAAGGCGGCGACGGGUACCCGGCCUGAAAGGGGGGACGGCCACUUUGGGACUGAAACACGGCCCAAACUCCUACGGGAGGCAGCAGGGGGGAAUAUUGCACAAUGGGCGCAAGCCUGAUGCACCGACGCCGCGGGGGGGAUGACGGCCUUCGGGUUGAAAACUCCUUUCAACCAUGACAAAGCUUUUGUGACGGUAGGGGUAAAAAAAGCACCGGUUAACUACGUGCCAGCAGCCGCGGAAAUACGUAGGGGGCAAGCGUUGUCCGGAAUUACUGGGCGUAAAAAGCUCGUAGGGGGUUUGUCGCGUCGUCUGUGAAAUUCCGGGGCUCAACUCCGGGCGUGCAGGCGAUACGGGCAUAACUUGAGUGCUGUAGGGGAGACUGGAAUUCCUGGGGUAGCGGUGAAAUGCGCAGAUAUCAGGAGGAACACCGAUGGCGAAGGCAGGUCUCUGGGCAGAAACUGACGCUGAGGAGCGAACGCAUGGGUAGCGAACAGGAUUAGAUACCCUGAUAGUCCAUGCCGUACACGGUGGGCGCUACGGUGUGGGGGUGCUUCCACGACUUCUGGUGCCGUAGCUAGACGCAUUAGGCGCCCCGACCUGGGGAAGUACGGACCGCAUGGCUAAAACUCAAAGGGAAUAUGACGAGGGGCCCGCGACAAGGCCGCGGAGCAUGUGAUAAUUCGAUGCACGCGUAAAAUCCUUAGCUGGCUAGAAAUGUACGGAUCGGCGCAAAGAUGUGUCUUCCCUUGGGGUGGGUAUACAGUGGUGCAUGGUCGUCGCGGGUCGUGUCGGUGGAUGUGGCUGAGUCCGCACGUAGGCAAACCUGUCUUGGUUGCAACCGUGCGAUGGACCUACCGUAGACUGCCAGGUUAGUCGAAGGAAGUGAGAUGACGUCAAUCAUGCGACCCAUA